rnacentral:rRNA from 1 species
AUGGCCGUAAAGCUCGCCGGCGACGUCGCCAAGGUGGCUGACGUCAUCCGGAACUGCAAGCGUCGCCACCGCUGUCAACCGUCUGCCUUCCCGUGCACCUAUCUUGGGCUGCCCCUCUCAACGCACAAGAUCACACAUGGGCUGCUAAUGCCUGUUAUUCACAAAGUGGACAAACGCCUCUCAGGUUGGCUGGCCACUUUCCUUUCUUGGGGAGGACGGCUAACUUUGAUUAAUGCUGUUCUGGUAGCGAUCCCAAGCUACUUCAUGGGCUGCUUCAUCUGGCCGAAGCAAUCCUUACAGCAGCUAGAGCAGAUUAUGAGGGGUUUUCUGUGGCAAGGAAAGAACCACACACAAGGUGGGCAGUGCCUGGUGGCAUGGGAUUAUGUUACCCCGCCGCAGCAGAAUGGAGGAUUGGGCGUACCUGACCUUGAUGCGCAUAACUUGGCAAUGAUAAGCAAGGUCAUGACAAGGAUCCUGCAGCCCAGCGACGUCCCAUGUUACCAAUGGUUUGCAUCAACAUAUUGUCAUAAAGAGAUACCACUUACGGUGCACAAUACGGACACUGCCAUCUGGCGCUGCAUCAAAUCUUCUAUUCAGUUUGUCAUACAGUCCACAAGGAUGGCGGAGCAAAGGAAGCAGCACCUCCAGUCUUACAAGGAACAAAUUCGCAAGAUGCAGAAGCUUGCUCGUAGUUAUUCGCAGAGGAUUAUUGAUGACUAUCAAAAGCUUAGUUCCGAACUGGAGUCCAAGAUGCAUGAUCUUGACUCAGUUUCCAAGCAUCUGGAUGAACUAGAUCCGCAAAGUAUCCCUCAGAUAAGGAACUACGAGCAAGAGAAACAUGAGAAGGAGGAACAAGUCACUUUAUUAUUAGAGCAGGAAAGGAAUGCCAAGCAAUAUUCCCUGGAUAAACUGGCUUCACAAAUUAGCUCUAACUAUGAGCAAGAGAAAAAUGAGAAGGAGAAAGAAGCCGCUCUAUUAUUGGAGUUACGCCAGGAAAGGAUGCGGAUAGUGAAAAAAGUCGCUCUAUUAUUAGAGCAGGAAACUAAAGCCCAGCAGCGAUCCUUGGAUGAACUGGCUUCAAAAAUUAGCUCAAACUAUGAGAAAGAGGAAAAUGAGAAGGAGAAAGAAGCAGCUCUAUUAUUGGAGUUAGAGCAGGAAAGGAUGCAGAAGGAGAAACAAGUCGCUCUAUUAUUAGAGCAGGAAAGGAGUGCCAAGCAGCUAUCCUUUGAUAAACUGGCUUCACUAAUUAGCUCUAACAAUGAGCAAGAGAAAAAUGAGGGGAAACAAGUCGCUAUAUUAUUUCACAUUUCAGAGGAGGAAAGGAAUGCCAAGCAGAAGCUUGAGUUAGAAAAUAAACAGCUGCAGAGCCAAUUGGAAGCAAUGGAGCACAUGCAAGGUGAUGAAGACUCUGAAUCAAAGAAGAAAAUGGCUGAGCAAAUUCAGGAGCUAGAAGAGCAUUGUGAUACAUUACAAUCAUUUGCACAGACUUUGGUUAUCAAGGAAAGGAAUGCCAAUGAUGAGUUGCAGCUUGCUCGGAAGGCACUGAUACGUGGCUUCCAGGAUCUUAUAACUGGCCAAACAUCUAUAGGCAUCAAAAGGAUGGGCAUGCUUGACCAGGAAUCACUUGAAAAGGCUUUCCAACAGAAUAGCAUGAUGCUGCCUUAUUUUGUGCAAAAUGGGAGGCUGAGAUUUUUUCGAUAA